rnacentral:rRNA from 1 species
AUUGAACGCUGGCGGCAUGCCUAACACAUGCAAGUCGAACGAGUGGCGGACGGGUGAGUAAUGUCUGGGAAACUGCCUGAUGGAGGGGGAUAACUACUGGAAACGGUAGCUAAUACCGCAUACCAUCAGAUGUGCCCAUAUGGGAUUAGCUAGUUGGUGGGGUAACGGCUCACCAAGGCGACGAUCCCUAGCUGGUCUGAGAGGAGGACCAGCCACACUGGAACUGAGACACGGGCCAGACUCCUACGGGAGGCAGCAGUGGGGAAUUUUGGACAAUGGGGGAAAGCCUGAUGCAGCCAUGCCGCGUGUAUGAAGAAGGCCUUCGGGUUGUAAAGUACUUUCAGCGGGGAGGCGUUACCCGCAGAAGAAGCACCGGCUAACUCCGUGCCAGCAGCCGCGGUAAUAC